UUCAAUCCAGUAUUUAUUGUCCAAAUUCAGGGCGCAACAACUCCCAAGGACGUCAGCCCCAAAAGCAUUGAAUAACAUCCUUUUUAUCAUUAUGGGAGUUUAUACUAAAUAAUAACAUAUCUGUGUUAUCCUAUCCUAUCCUAUGGAAAGCCCUGAGUUCUGGGACAGAUGUGUAAAUAACCCCACAAAUACUGGGAUGGUUUUGGGAAGUAUUCCGGCGUCAAUAACUAUAAUAAGCAGUGUAAUUAUAGACACACGGAAAAAAAGUGCAGCGGUUUCACAUGCUUUACCUGCUUCACGUGAAUUCCAGUUAUAUAUGUCCCUAUAUCUUAUGCAGAGGACCAACAAAAAUUACUGUUAUGUGUGUCAUUUUAUUCAUUAACCUGUAAUCAAAACAUAUUUAAAAUUGUCAAGUGCUACUUUUCCAGUUUAAGUCGUAUGAGUCACAUUCACUGCUAAAUAUGUUUUCACAGCAUAGUCAUUUCAGCCCAGAAUGAAAAUGUGUUGGGAAACUCUUACACGCUGUCUUGCACAAAGCAUCCCAUUCUUAAAACAUGACAGCUACAGACUCAUUUCCUGGAUAUCAGUUCGGCGUCAUUCAGCUUAGUUGUACAGUAAGUGUAGAGUGGGCUGAUGAACAUAUUCACGUGGGAACACAUGGCCAUUGUUUCAUGCAUUUGUUUACUCCAACUCUGCUAAGCUCUUAUGUCACUAACACAGACUUGGUCUUUGUGCUCAUACAUUUGUUUUCCAAUAACUGUGUUUGAGAUAUCUGCACACUGCCUGUUCGUGGUUAAUGAUCCAUGUCAGAUACAAUAGGGGAAGGAUCAAUGGCUCUGCAUCAAAGGAGCCAGGAAGUAAUUCUAUUGUGAAAAGUUAUGUAUGUAAGUUUUACUUCAGUGCAAGAAUCCUGCCGUCGCACUUUUCUUUUGUCCCUGCAGAAGUCCCAAGGUGACGACAUAGAGCAUUGUUAUUGAAUACUGUUCAAACGUGAAGAGGUUAUCUGUGCACAUAUUUUAAAGCAACAAAUAUUUGCUUAAAACUAGAUGUGUUGUUUAUUAUUUUUUGUCUUGAACAGUGAAGGAGCAGAAGCAGCCAUAUCCCCUGGUGCUACAAUUUGGAUCAUACUUUUGAUGCUGAAGUACUACCAGGCGUUCAUGGCAGACGUGCACCAGGCCUCAUGAUCACACUCUGAGUCACUGACUGUUGCCAGAAGAGAGCGACUUUACCGUUCCGCCUCCUCCUCGCAGCUCACAGGUCCCCUGUGGUUCAAACCGCCACCACACUCUCACACUGACAUGGAAACAGCAGAAUGUGUGCGUGCAGGCAGCCAUGUCGUACCUACUCAGCGCGGUGCAGAGAAGACUGUUCUGAUGGACUUCACUCUUACACAGGAUGGACGUCACAGGGGGAACUACCAGACUGCACCUGCACUACUAAUGAAAUACAAAUGCGAUCAUUGUUUUUGAAUUUUUUAUAAAAGUGAUCAAGCUUCGUUUUAGGCAUAACCACAACCUUGUGUGUGUAGUGUGUGUGGUGGUGUGUGGGUGUGCAGAGCUGCUUGUUUAUCCCCGCCCCCAUUAUUCCUGUUAAGUCACCUCAUUUAACCUUACAUACACACAUAACUGUACUUCUGUAUUAGUAAGAGCACUGAUUGGCAUAAUGCAUUCCCUAUAGCCCCUUACCCUAACCCCAGCCAUCAUAACUAAAAGCCUAACCCUAACCCUAACGCCGUUAACCCUCAAAUAUCCCUUUGAGGUAGGUCCUCACUCCACGAGGUCCAAGCUCAUAAAGGUCCUUCAAAAGGGUUAGGGCUAGGGUUAGGGGUUAAAAGUACACACCAAGGUUUGCACAGCUAUGCUAAGUAGGAAUGCAUAGACAUGAUUCAUGGUGGACUACCUAACCAAAACCUUGUCCCUAACCCAAACCGUGAUCAGUCCUUGACUGACCCAAACCGUGAUUAGUCCACGACUUACCCAAACCGUAACCGUGACCAGUCCAGGGCUAACCUUUAUUUUGCUAGUGUGAUAACGACCUAGAUACUGAGAAUAACCAAGAAAAUAUGAAACCCAGACAUGAGCAUUCUCUCUUCCAUGCAUAAAGUAAAACAUGUAUGUGCCUGUAAUUUAAAUGUUUAUAUAUUUCAUGAUUUCAUGGGCCGGUGAGCUCAUUAUCUCAUUCAAGAUAAUAACAUUGAGGGUUUUAUCUCAUGUUUCAUCACCCAUCCAAAAUAACAGGAACAGUGACAGGUUAAAUACCCUUUUACGUCACAGGAGUUAAGUUGUAGAUGAAAACAAAAGGCAGGAAGUUGUGGGUAAGGUAUUAAAACCUGGGGUUCUGCUUUUAUAACAGACACAUCAUCAGAAGUAAAUAAAUCAUAACGGAGCAGAUUUACAUUGUGUUUUAUAUAUAAUUUUAUAUUUGUCAUAUUAGAUGUAUGUGUGUAUGUGUGUGUGUGUGUGUGUCUGUGUGUGUGUUAGAAGUGAUACAACAUUAUAGAUUCAUGUAUAACUUUCUGGCAGCUGAGAAACUGAUGAAAGUAAAUGUAAAAACACGGUGCAGCCACAGGACACAAACCAGUUGCACCACCCAUUCACCAGCAGUGAAACUGGACCCUUGUUCCUCCACACACACACUCAUACACACACACACACACACACAUCCCUGCCCACUUUACUCAGCGUGUCGUAAUGUCCCUGGCAAGAAUCCUAUUAUCUUGAUCGGGUGUGAGGAAAUUGAAGUAAUGAGCCCGUUGGUUCGAUGGCCAUUCAGUGUCUGCCGAGAAGCAGGAGACACUGCAGGCUGCUGUAAUUCAGCUGAGCUUUUCCCCCCACUAAUGGCUCUUUAAAGAAGCCCAUUGUCUUAUUAAAGAAUAAAUAGAAGGAAAAGGAGACGUCAGGCGGCUCGAGUGGAGAUACGAGCCGACAGAAAGGGACGUGAUGCAGAGGAAAUCCUUGUGAACGCUUUCCAGGAAGCCACAGAGGAGUCUUAACUCAGGUCCAGAACAGCCACUGGAAUACACUGGCCCUAUGGUCACUUCGUCUGUGUGAAUGUGGGCUUGGCAGUUCCUUUGAUUGCCUCACACUGCUUGUAAAUGGAUGUCGGGUAAAUAUUGGAGAUAGAGAUUUACCAGUGCACCGUGAUUAAGCGUCUGACGCAGAGGUCAACGCACCAGGAUGUCUGUAUUUGCCAAAUUUUUUUUUUGUUUUUUUUUUGUGAAAUCUGUCUCAUUCAGCGGGGAGGGGAUGUCUGCUGCAGCUGAAUCAGACUAAAUAUCCUUCCUCACAAUUGUCAUCCCCACUGUACAAGCACAGAGUGAGACAAAUCAACAAUGAGCGAAAACAGCGACUCACAAACCAAUAAGCAAACUUUGAUGCUGGGCCGUCACUCCCUGGCUCUUUUCAAAAGCAGUUCCUAAAAGGCAUCAAGGUGGUGGUGUCGAUUCGCUUUGAAGAAAAUAAUAAAAGCAAACACACGACAGCAGAGGCCAGUGGGGAAGCAACUGCGCACGGCAUUUGACUCUCAUUGUUUCAUGGGAACAAUUCACCUUGUCCCUGGAUUCUAUUUUAAACACAUUCACCUCUCCUGAAAUAUUGUACUGAAUAUAUAAUAAACUAGUGAAAUAUUCUCAUAAACUGUUUCCGAUUUGAGACCAGACAUAAACUUCAGGUUGAAUAUUUGCAUGUUCUAAAUGUUGAUAGAUUCAAAUCUCAGUUUUACACAUGAAACAAUCCUUGGAUUUUUUUGUGUAAUGUUCAUACAAACAUAUAUUUUCAAGAAACCAUAAGACUCCUCUAUUUGAAGGUGUGAAAUGAGGCCUGCUCAGUCUGUCUCACUACUUCUUACACUUUAUUUUUAGUUGUGACUUUAUUUCCUGUACAGUUGAUACUGAGCUGCUUGUCCUGUGCACACCGGUAACAUGAUGGCACCCUCUUCUGGAUGACAAAUGCAACAACGCAUCCCUUUUCAAAUCUGUACAGUCUAAUAUACAGUAUGUGGUUACACGUGGGGAAUUUCUGAAUGACACAAUAUCAUCUGGAGCACAAUGUCCAGGAUGAAUAAAGGUCAUAAAAAAACA